rnacentral:rRNA from 1 species
GUCUACAGCCAUACCACCAUGAACGUGCCCGAUUUUCUCUGAUCUCGGAAGCUAAGAAGGAUCAGGCCUGGUUAGUACUUGGAUGGGAGACUGCCUGGGAAUAAGUUAGUGCCUGAAUAUC